rnacentral:rRNA from 1 species
GACGAACGCUGGCGGCGUGCUUAACACAUGCAAGUCGAACGGAAAGGCCCUGCUUUUGUGGGGUGCUCGAGUGGCGAACGGGUGAGUAACACGUGAGUAACCUGCCCUUGACUUUGGGAUAACUUCAGGAAACUGGGGCUAAUACCGGAUAGGAGCUCCUGCUGCGUGGUGGGGGUUGGAAAGUUUCGGCGGUUGGGGAUGGACUCGCGGCUUAUCAGCUUGUUGGUGGGGUAGUGGCUUACCCAGGCUUUGACGGGUAGCCGGCCUGAGAGGGUGACCGGGGACAUUGGGACUGAGAGACGGAGCAGAGUCGUACGGGAGGCAGCAGUGGGGAAUAUUGCACAAUGGGCGGAAGCCUGAUGCAGCAGCGUCGCGUGCGGGAUGACGGCCUUCGGGUUAUGAACAGCUUUCGCCUGAGACGAAGCGUGUGUGACGGUAAUGGGUAAAGAAGCACCGGCUAACUACGUG